rnacentral:lncRNA from 1 species
GGUGUAAGAAUACUCGGUCUGUAAAGGCUGUACUCGAAUUAGACAUGUUGUCUAGGAGUGACAGGAGUAGCAGAUAAUACUCAACCAGGAGUGAUUGAAGUCGUGUAAUCUUGAAAAGGUUAAUGGAAACCCUUUAAGAGUUCUUAAGGAAGGACUGGACAUAGCUUAAGAUUGAGUAAACCAGUAUAAAAAUUGUGCUUUACUAUUUUCCUCUUUCAAAAACUAUUGUUAAGUUUCUUAUGUCAUUGUUUGAACAAAAAUUCUUAUUUGCAUAUUUUAUAAAUCCAACAUCUAAACAUAAUUCAUUUUUGUAUACUCUUAUUACAAGUCAUCAAAUGUUACCUUACAAAAAUAUUUAGAAAUAAUAUUCAC